rnacentral:rRNA from 1 species
GUUGGUUAAGUCCCGCAACGAGCGCAACCCUCGUCCUUAGUUGCCAUCAUUAAGUUGGGCACUUUAAGGAAACUGCCGGUGAUAAGCCGGAGGAAGGUGGGGAUGACGUCAAGUCCUCAUGGCCCUUACAGGCUGGGCUACACACGUGCUACAAUGGCAUCUACAGUGGGCAGCUAUUCCGCAAGGAUGCGCUAAUCUCCAAAAGAUGUCUCAGUUCGGAUUGUCCUCUGCAACUCGAGGGCAUGAAGGCGGAAUCGCUAGUAAUCGCGGAUCAGCAUGCCGCGGUGAAUACGUUCCCGGGCCUU